UGAUACAAAAUCCAUUCAAGAUUGCAGCUGAGUAGUGGAAGUAUGAUGCCCUUUGGUUUUAUUGGCAUAUUAUAUAAAUUUCCAUUCCUGGAUUAUGCCUUAAGCAGUAGUUCAUCUUUAUUAAAAAUGAACUACUGCUUUAGGCAGAAAGGGUCUCACAGGUAUAAAACGUGAUGGAAAUAUGUCAGUGUAUUGAUAUCAAUGUUACUUUUAUUAUAUGGCUAGACACUGCAUCUUUGUGCCAAAAUUCAUUCUUGUUCAAGUUUCUAUGCUAUGCACUAGAGUACCUUGAUCAUUCAUCCAGUCGUGAUAUGAGCUGUUUAUUGAAACUUGAAGAAUUAUUUAGAAGCUUAAAAAUGUUAUCACUGACAUUAUGAGGUUUUUAUAGGAGGUCUAGGUUGU
rnacentral:lncRNA from 1 species